rnacentral:rRNA from 1 species
UGGGAAUCUUGCACAAUGGGCGAAAGCCUGAUGCAGCAACGCCGCGUGCGGGAAGACAGCCCUAGGGUUGUAAACCGCUUUCAGCAGGGAAGAAACUGACGGUACCUGCAGAAGAAGAUGCGGCCAACUACGUGCCAGCAGCCGCGGUGACACGUAGGCAUCAAGCGUUAUCCGGAUUUAUUGGGCGUAAAGAGCUCGUAGGCGGUUCGGUAAGUCGGGUGUGAAAACUCUGGGCUCAACCCAGAGAGGCCACUCGAUACUGCUGUGACUAGAGUGCGGUAGGGGAGCGGGGAAUUCCUGGUGUAGCGGUGAAAUGCGCAGAUAUCAGGAGGAACACCAGUGGCGAAGGCGCCGCUCUGGGCCGUAACUGACGCUGAGGAGCGAAAGCAUGGGUAGCAAACAGGAUUAGAUACCCUGGUAGUCCACGCCGUAAACGAUGAAUGUUAGCCGUCGGGCAGUAUACUGUUCGUGGCGCAGCUAACGCAUUAAACAUUCCGCCUGGGAGUACGGUCGCAAGAUUAAAACUCAAAUGAAUUGAC